rnacentral:rRNA from 1 species
AUUGAACGCUGGCGGCAUGCCUUACACAUGCAAGUCGAACGGUAACAGGUCUUCGGAUGCUGACGAGUGGCGAACGGGUGAGUAAUACAUCGGAACGUGCCUAGUAGUGGGGGAUAACUACUCGAAAGAGUGGCUAAUACCGCAUGAGAUCUACGGAUGAAAGCAGGGGAUCGCAAGACCUUGUGCUACUAGAGCGGCCGAUGGCAGAUUAGGUAGUUGGUGGGAUAAAAGCUUACCAAGCCGACGGUCUGUAGCUGGUCUGAGAGGACGAUCAGCCACACUGGGACUGAGAAACGGCCCAGACUCCUACGGGAGACAGCAGUGGGGAAUUUUGGACAAUGGGCGCAAGCCUGAUCCAGCAAUGCCGCGUGCAGGAUGAAGGCCUUCGGGUUGUAAACUGCUUUUGUACGGAACGAAAAGCCCCGGGUUAAUACCCUGGGGUCAUGACGGUACCGUAAGAAUAAGCACCGGCUAACUACGUGCCAGCAGCCGCAGUAA